rnacentral:rRNA from 1 species
UGGGGAAUAUUGCACAAUGGAGGGAACUCUGAUGCAGCGACGCCGCGUGAACGAAGAAGGCUUUCGAGUCGUAAAGUUCUUUUAUAUGGGAAGAAAAUGACGGUACCAUAAGAAAAAGCCCCGGCUAACUACGUGCCAGCAGCCGCGGUAAUACGUAGGGGGCUAGCGUUGUCCGGAAUCACUGGGCGUAAAGGGUUCGCAGGCGGAAAUGCAAGUCAGGUGUAAAAGGCAGUAGCUUAACUACUGUAAGCAUUUGAAACUGCAUAUCUUGAGAAGAGUAGAGGUAAGUGGAAUUUUUAGUGUAGCGGUGAAAUGCGUAGAUAUUAAAAAGAAUACCGGUGGCGAAGGCGACUUACUGGGCUCAUUCUGACGCUGAGGAACGAAAGCGUGGGUAGCAAACAGG